UCUAGCUUCAAUUUUAUUAUUCUCCUUCUUAGAGAUGAAAAGAAAGCCUGUCUUGGACAGACAUAGUACCCCAGGUUCCAUGCGAGCCAUGCGCUCUGCUUCAUUCUCUCCCUUACUGGAUUUCAGUUCCUGUGCUCACUUGCCCUUGAGAUCUUGUUUUUGUUUUUUGUAGGUAAGUUCUCCCUCAGCUAUUUCUGUCACUCCUGUUGGAUAUCUUUAUUAUUCACUCGUAAUAACUUGCAGUAAUCAGGCAUUUCACGAAUGUUUUUCUGAGAUGCUCUCCAGUCCCCAUGCAGCGGCUGUCACUGCAGUUGCAGGAGAAAUGAUAAUCACUUCUCGGCAUGGAGAUGAGAUGAUGGAGUCCCAGACCUUCGUCUCAGAGUCCAGAUGCCCCUCUUCCCACCUGCACGUCAGUGCCCCUGCACGCACUGUCCCGACAGCAAAUGCCAACUGGGCAUCCCUCAGAUUGACCAUGGCUGCUUCGGGACCGGCACGGCUCCUGGAUCGUGCUGCACGUGAACUUGUUUCCCUCAAUACCACCUGCCUCCUCGGCGGCUUCCAGGCCCGUAAGCUCCUUCCCCGCGUCCCUAGGCGGCUGGGCCUUGGAAUUAGGUCCCCAAGGUGCACUGUCGUCUGCUGUGCCCUCCGCUGGGUUCCGCAUCUCCUGGCGAAUCUACAUUCCUGUGGGGGUGACAGGCCGAGAGAAGAGCAGAAACAGAAGUGUUAGAAGACGUGGAUGUUGUUCCGUAUCAUGCCAGAUAGAAGCUCGGGGCUUUGGAAGUAAAGUGAUGAAGGGGAAUUCUGAAGUUCAGGGAUUAGAUGGAAGAGUCACUGGUAAUAAACAGUGGGUAGAACCUAGAAACCAAAUCUCCGGACCUACUGAGAUGUCCUCUAGAGGAACUCAACCAGCUCUGAGGAAUAUCUUCGUAUACACGGUUGAGACUUCUGCUACAUCCAGGCAGGUCAGGAGUCACCGUG